CAAGGGGUUAGUCAAGCCGCCUG
rnacentral:siRNA from 1 species